CCUACGGGUGGCAGCAGUGAGGAAUAUUGGUCAAUGGUCGGGAGACUGAACCAGCCAAGCCGCGUGAGGGAUGAAGGUACAGAGUAUCGUAAACCUCUUUUGUCAGGGAACAAAGGCGGGGACGUGUCCCCGGAUGAGUGUACCUGAAGAAAAAGCAUCGGCUAACUCCGUGCCAGCAGCCGCGGUAAUACGGAGGGUGCGAGCGUUAUCCGGAUUUAUGGGGUUUAAAGGGUGCGCAGGCGGUCUGUUAAGUCAGCGGUCAAAGCCCGGGGCUCAACCCCGGCCCGCCGUUGAAACUGGCAGUCGCGAGUUGGAGAGAAGUAUGCGGAAUGCGAGGUGUAGCGGUGAAAUGCAUAGAUAGCGCGCAGAACUCCGAUUGCGAAGGCAGCAUGCUGGCUCCACACUGACGCUGAGGCACGAAAGCGUGGGUAUCGAACAGGAUUAGAUACCCCGGUAGUC
rnacentral:rRNA from 1 species